AGGAUGAACGCUGGCGGUAUGCUUAACACACGCAAGUCGAACGGAACCAGAAAUGGUUUAGUGGCGGACGGGUGAGUAACGCGUGAGAAUCUGGCUUCAGGUUCGGGACAACCACUGGAAACGGUGGCUAAUACCGGAUGUGCCGAAAGGUGAAAGAUUAAUUGCCUGAAGAUGAGCUCGCGUCUGAUUAGCUAGUUGGUGGGGUAAAGGCUUACCAAGGCGGCGAUCAGUAACUGGUCUGAGAGGAUGACCAGUCACACUGGGACUGAGACACGGCCCAGACUCCUACGGGAGGCAGCAGUGGGGAAUUUCCGCAAUGGGCGAAAGCCUGACGGAGCAAUACCGCGUGAGGGAAGAAGGCUCUUGGGUCGUAAACCUCUUUUCUCAGGGAAGAACAAAAUGACGGUACCUGAGGAAUAAGCAUCGGCUAACUCCGUGCCAGCAGCCGC
rnacentral:rRNA from 1 species